GUUAUGGAGCUCAGAGCUGAGCCAGAUUCUCUAUCAGGCACGACUGGAGGACGCUGCAGUCAUUGUGAUAAUAGAAGAGCUGUAGAGUUAGCUGUUCACCUUUCUGUCGUCCUUUGCUUCAAGCCAUCAAGUGCAUCGGGCCAGGUGCUUGGCUGAUUGGGCUCCAGAGCGAUAGAUUGAGAGGUUUGGUUUCAGCAUGACACUGUGUGAAAAAGGAUGACUCCUUUACCUCAGAAAACCUCCCUUCCCAGCGCUGUCAUCCAGCGUGCAUAGCUGGUGCAUGCCGGUGGAAGUUGCUUUUACUGGAGUCCUGAGAAUAUAGCUCAGGCCCCCCUCCCCGCUGUACUGGGACUUUAUGGAGCUGCAGGCUAAUCACAGCGAGCUGCCCAUCCUGUUUCCAGUCCUCACAGUGACGUUCACCAUCGAGGGAGGGCUUGGCAAGGUUGCAGAGGCAAGAGAGGUCUGCAUUUUCACAGCACUCCCUCCCCUCACCCUGCAGCAGGUCAGACAAGGUUGUGGCUCCCUGAUGACUCUGGUUCAUGGGUGAGCUAGGCAGCGUUUAAUGAGAGUAACUUAACCCUUUUAUCACACCAAGUGCUGAAAUGACAAAUGAGCAGCAGAGGAAAGAAGGCAGUGGGUUAGGACUCAUUUCACUUAAAUUUAUUUAUUUUGCUAUUUUAGCAAAGUUGUAUGGAAAUUGCUUGUUUAUGAGCAGAUGACAUGAAAAAGCAGUAAAAAGCCAGAAGAAACACUAAAAAAGGCAUUGUUGUUCUGGAGAAGGACAGUAAGAGUGUGAUUGUGUGUGUGUGUUUGUGAGAGGGUGGGUGUUGAUCUUUCAGGGCCAAUAAUGCACAAGCAUUGCAAAGGGUGUCAAUCAAACUCCAUUUCUCAUCACAUCCAGAUCUUCAGCCAUCCCUGCGCCAACAGUGUCUAGUCUUCAUCAGGGGAGAUCCAAUACUACUCAUGGCUUCCCUACCACCUUAAAAUAUGAUAACAUCACAACGGUGUCUCAUCUUUAUUAUGCACAUGUCAAUGAAAUAUUUGUUCACUCAUAAUGAAGUCUCUCCUGAUUGAAAUAAUUAGAUUAGAGUGAUGAAGUUAGUUAGGAGAAGGUGAUUGGGACCAGGACAAAGAGGCUGAUGUCAUAUACAAGAAUAAAAUAAGCUCAAAUUGAUUAAGAAACCUAAAUCAAACAGAACCCAGAAGCUCUGCAUUAAAAGAGAAUUUUACAGUUUUACUGCAUAUAAAGCCCUUUUCAGAACUGUGCAAGGUAUGACAAAAAGUGUGAUGUCACUUGCUACAUUAGCCGCUACCAGCAUCACAUACUCACAAUCUGAGAUGCAUUGUGGGUAAUGCAGGCACCCGGUUUGACGAGGAAAAAAAUACGUGUCUUAAAAAAAAGAAGAUUUCACGUCAUUCCACUCCUCGACUUUAAUCUUUUCUCUUUUUUUUUUAACUCUCCAUUGUGAACCCGACAAUAGUGCAAUGCUAAAUAUGUGGUCUCCAGCAUGCAGCACUUUGCAGAACAGAAUCAAUGUAAUUAUAAACCUUUCUGAUUUUCUUGCAAACUGCUUUGGUGACAUUGUUGG